rnacentral:rRNA from 1 species
CGGAUCCGUAACUUGGUCUGAGAGGAUGAUCAGUCACACUGGAACUGAGACACGGUCCAGACUCCUACGGGAGGCAGCAGUGGGGAAUAUUGGACAAUGGGCGAAAGCCUGAUCCAGCCAUGCCGCGUGUGUGAAGAAGGUCUUCGGAUUGUAAAGCACUUUAAGUUGGGAGGAAGGGCAGUUACCUAAUACGUGAUUGUUUUGACGUUACCGACAGAAUAAGCACCGGCUAACUCUGUGCCAGCAGCCGCGGUAAUACAGAGGGUGCAAGCGUUAAUCGGAAUUACUGGGCGUAAAGCGCGCGUAGGUGGUUUGUUAAGUUGGAUGUGAAAUCCCCGGGCUCAACCUGGGAACUGCAUUCUAAAACUGACUGACUAGAGUAUGGUAGAGGGUGGUGGAAUUUCCUGUGUAGCGGUGAAAUGCGUAGAUAUAGGAAGGAACACCAGUGGCGAAGGCGACCACCUGGACUAAUACU